CUUCCACCAGAUGUUGCAGAGUGGGUUCAGGUAGCACUGAUGCUGGAGCGUAAGGAUGGAAGGCCUUAUUACCCCCUCUCAAUAACAAAUAUUCAUCAUGACAAAAAGAAAAAUCACACAGCGCACACCCAAAGAAAAAUAUUUGGAAAAGAUAUAAAUGCUUAAAUAAUGAUGACCUCGUUUCAAUGUGUUCACUAUUUAUUUUGUGUGAAAUCGUGGCCUGUUUAAAAGUACACAGGGUUGAUAGACUCGCAGGAAGCCGUUUGUUGUGCUUGCUGCCAUCUAAUGGAAGAUAAUUUAAUCGUUCUGUCUUUCCCUGUACAUCGCUGGGAUAGAUGGAUAAACAAAGAUAUGUUUGUAAUUAGUAAUUGUUAAUUUUCUAACAAACGAAGCAAAAAUGGCACCACGACACCCUGGUUUUGAAUCACUGCUGUAAUGUACAUUUAAAAGGAAACAAUGUUUUUGAUUGACAAGAACACACACAAUGUUCCUGUUUUUGUGUGAUAUACCUUCAUAAUCUCAAAUACAUGUAUAUUUUUGAACUGAAAAGUUAAACAUCUACAAUGUUAGGUUUAUUGACUCGAAAUUGUCUUUGAUGUAUAUAAAAUUCAUCUUGUUGGAGACAAUAAAUUAUUUCCAAAAACAUGUAAUGUUCAUAGGAGACAGAAAAUGAAAAAAGUUGACUCCAAAUUGUCUUUGAUGUUUACGAAAUGAGUAUGCUAAGUUCAUGGAAGACUGAAAACGUCUUGGAUGUUUAUAACAAAAUUGGUUCGUUGGAGACGACAAAUGAUUUUGUACAGUAACUCUAAUUACACUAUUGUGUCUUUGAUGUUUAAAAAAUCAAUUAGUGUCCAAAAGACUCAAGUAUUUGUAUGUUUCAGGCAGGCGAAGUUUGGCCAGCUAAGUUUUGGGUCCUUUGUGGCUCGUGUGUACGCAAACGGUUGAGCGUGGUAGAAAAGAGAGAGCGGCACUGCUAAUGGUUCCGUAGUUAAUUAGUGUGACCUAGUUCGAUUUUACAACCCGUCAUUUGGGAGCAAGAGGUGUCUGUCUUCCUUUACCGAGUGUGCGUCCUUGAGAGGUGAGUGGGAACCGCCACUUCUAUGUUCAUUAUGAGUUUUCGUGAAGUUAAGUCCUUCCGCUACCUGUCGAGUUGUGCCGCUUUAGCAUUAGCAAUGGUUAGCUGAAUGUCUGUUUGUCCUUAUUUAAUGUGCCUUAUUUUCCGUACAAUGAAUAAGCCUAUUAACACAUUUGGUUAGAAAUAUCUCUCUUCAGUUAGGAAUUCUGUCCUUUGUUUCUCAUUGUAGAGACCACAACCACAUAUAAACAAGUAUAAACACAGACGCAUACAAGAUACCUCAAUCACCCCAAAUAACACAAAAGUGGAAAGUAAAGCGGACAAACUCGUCCAUCUUCCAGGAAUUCCAGACCUGCGAGUCGAACGUCUUUUAGGAUUGCCAUGAAGGUUAUGCAUCCAGCAGACGUUCGACUCUCAUUCCAGUACGCAGUGCAGACAAAAAAGGUUUUCUCCCAGUCAUAACCAACAAUGUCGACGAAACGUGCUGCACCGACAAGGGCACCUGCAGUCGCACCCAAAAGGCAAAGGAAGGUGCUAACUAUCGAAGGUGGCAUGUCUGUUUAUAAGAAUCUUCUCGCCCAGAAGAAAAAAGAGCGGCAACAACCAUCUAUAACUAUGUUCUUCUCGAGGAAAAAAAGACAGUGGAAAAGGACGCGAGAGCGGAGCGGCGUCAGGACGAAGAGGGAUGGUCAGAGGAAGCGUGAAAUACGCGCGGGUCACAAUUAAUAAUUUCUUACGUUUCCAACCUCAUACGCUGUUCAUUAAAAUUUAAUUUAUUU